UGCAUGCUGUCUGUUUCACUGAAUCACAGCAGGUCGUUCCACGCUUGCUUUAACUUCUCCUACAUGAAACGGAUUUUAUUUAAAUUACAAUCUAUCAUUAAAAGAAUUCCACCGAGCGGCAGGGUCAGACGAGGACACAGGGAGCUGGGCUGCCUCGUAGCUGCCGUGUCCUUCCCCAGCGUCUGACUAUAGCCGCUUUUGCCAUCAGGAAAUUGAUUGGCUUCAAUGUUAACAUAACUAUCUCAUUUCUUUUCCCCUUUCAAGGAAAAAAAAAUCAUGAAACUGAUUUGCUUGCAAUGAAAAAUCUGAAAAAUUCAGCUCUGAGUGUCCUGGUACAUGCAGGUUUCUCAAGGCCUGUAUCCUCAUUUAUCUAAACCAUUGUACCCUUAAAUAGGAGCACAGAGAUUCCGGCCUGCACUCUAAGGAGCAGAUGAGGGAACUGGGAUUGUUCUGUCUGGAGGAGGCUCAGGGGAGACCUUAUCACUCUAAAAUUACCUGAAGGGAGGUUGUACUAAAGUGAGGGUCAGCAUCUCUUCCCAGGUAAUAGCAAUAGGACAAGAGAUUAUGGCUUUAAGUUGUGCCAGGGGAACUUCUAGUUGGAUAUUAGGAAAAAAUUAUUCUCAGAAAGAGUGGUGAUGCAUUUGAAACAAGCUGCAAAGGGAGGUAGUGGAGUCACUGUCCCUGGAGAUGUUCAAGAAACAUGUAGAUCUGGCACUGAAGAACAUGGUUAGUGGACGUGGUGGUGAUGAGUUGACGGCUGGAUUCAAUGAUGUUAAAGGUCUUUUCCAACCUCAAUGAUUCUAUGAUUUAGUGGAGCACUGCCCUCAGGCGGAGCAGGGCCAACGCGUCCUUCAGAACCCACCAUGUGCUCGGAGCUGGGAGCUAUUGGCUUUGCAGAGUUCAUGGGUGAUGUCCAGGCAUAACUGGACUUUGUCAUUGACUUAAGCAGAUAACUUUAUCCAGGUUUCUUCUUAAAAGGGUGGCCUUGUAUGGAACACCAAGCGGGCUGUCCUUUACUGCUUUGAAAAAGGUCAUGUCGCUGUGAAGUUUCAAGCCACUGCUGAGGGGCCCAAUCCCUUCCUCCACCACUGAAGGUCAAGUUCAGCCUGUGCUUUAGGUACAAGAAAACAACUGGGGGCAGAGGGCCGUGGCAGGAUCCCGUUAUAUCCCAGCACACAGCUACAGUGCAUCAUCUCUCAGGCUGUGUCUGAAAGGCAGAAAUCGAUUCCUCGCAUGCAGACACAUGCAACACUCAACUGUUUGCACUGCUCAUUUUAGAAGUACAUCAGCAUGAGAUGAGAAAGCACCCUAUUAAUAUACGUCACUACACCUAC